GAAGAUUCAUUUCGGCAUUUGCUGCCAUCACAGUAAAAUUGGUCGAUCAUUAUCGGAAUUUGCACUCCGGAAACUUGAAUGUUUGAGAAUGUGACUCCUUGUACUGAACCUGAUCCUCCCUGCAGUAGGCAAGAUGGCUGCUGUAAAUGAGCACAUCUCGGGAGUUCUGAAGGUGAAUUCCAUCGGUGUUUGGGCUGUCCUCAGGAGAUGCAGUGGUAAAAUCAGAAACCUGAACAGUUGUGCAAUCGUCAAAUUUCAGGUGAGUUUGAGGGCUGUUUUGAAUUGUUAUGCCUGUGACAGUUACUCCAGUACUUCCAUAGAAUCUUAGUACCUGCAUAGAUAGAGAAAACCGUUAACAAAACAUUCUUAGCGUUAAAACUUUGAUCCAAGUGUUCCAUUGCAUUUAA